UACGUAGGGUCCGAGCGUUGUCCGGAAUUACUGGGCGUAAAGAGCUCGUAGGUGGUUUGUCGCGUUGUUCGUGAAAACUCACAGCUUAACUGUGGGCGUGCGGGCGAUACGGGCAGACUGGAGUACUGCAGGGGAGACUGGAAUUCCUGGUGUAGCGGUGGAAUGCGCAGAUAUCAGGAGGGAACACCGGUGGCGAAGGCGGGUCUCUGGGCAGUAACUGAC
rnacentral:rRNA from 1 species